rnacentral:rRNA from 1 species
UGGGGAAUAUUGCACAAUGGGCGCAAGCCUGAUGCAGCCAUGCCGCGUGUAUGAAGAAGGCCUUCGGGUUGUAAAGUACUUUCAGCGGGGAGGAAGGUGUUGAGGCUAAUAACCUCAGCAAUUGACGUUACCCGCAGAAGAAGCACCGGCUAACUCCGUGCCAGCAGCCGCGGUAAUACGGAGGGUGCAAGCGUUAAUCGGAAUUACUGGGCGUAAAGCGCACGCAGGCGGUCUGUCAAGUCGGAUGUGAAAUCCCCGGGCUCAACCUGGGAACUGCAUUCGAAACUGGCAGGCUAGAGUCUUGUAGAGGGGGGUAGAAUUCCAGGUGUAGCGGUGAAAUGCGUAGAGAUCUGGAGGAAUACCGGUGGCGAAGGCGGCCCCCUAGACAAAGACUGACGCUCAGGUGCGAAAGCGUGGGGAGCAAACA